GGGGGGGGGGGAGGGAAGAGAGCAGACCUCCGCCGGCCUCGCGGACUUGUCAAGUUGAAAGCAGCAAGCUUUUGGACUCAAAAAGCUUACACCAUCACGGCUGUGAAAACUACUGCUACUCAGAAAAUAUGUCAUUCUGGAGCUCCUUAGAGAAAAAGUAGUGCAAGGCAACAUCAGAGCAGUUGCCAAUUGAUCUUCUCCACAGCACCCAUGAACUUCAGCCUUGAACUGAAGAGGACUCAUCAAAUGCCUUAGGAGAGUCAGCAUGGAACUGGAAGAGAAGGAGGGAUCUCCAUGAAAGGCAGUCAACUACAGUUCUUGGUGUGUGGAGGAACAGUUCCUGUUCUCACUGUUGUUACUCCCACAUAGGCGGACUCUGUAAUUGAUUAUGUGUGGGUAGGGCCCUAUUGAAAUUAAGGAGAUUCUGCAGUAGUGCAGGGUUCUUUUGGUGAAAGUUCAGUUGCAAGAUCAGGACCCUACUGUGACUCCUUACUGUGAAUUCUGUCAGUGUAUCAUUGAUUGUGCUGGAACCUGCCUUUUGGGAUAAUGUAAGUCCUGCUUUUCCCCCAAAUGUACUUUAGACAUGAAAUAAUCGUAAAACAUUUCUAAUUAGAAAAUUAAUAUCAUUUACAUGCAUUCUUUUAAUUAUGUUUUCUUGGCAGUACCAAAUAAUAUAUUCCUCAAAACUUCUUAAUGGCACUGAGGCUUUGUGGAUAGUUGGUCACAUGAUGAGAAAAUUCGGCUAUCGUUGAUAAGGAUAAAGCAUUUUGCCUGUUCAUGCAAGCAGUACUAUUACUCUGCUUACACUACUUGAUCCUCUGGGCAGGAAGCUGGUUUCAGCAUUGCCAGUACCCUUUUCCCUUGGCUUCUAAUUCUAUCUAGCACAUGCUCUUCAGGUCUACUUUACGUGUAGUGCUGAGCUAUUGUGAUAGUUUCGUUUUUAUGACUUGCGUCAAGCGUGAAGCUUUCAAAACCAUGUGUCAAAGCGGUGAUCUCUCUUUCCACAUCUCUCAAGCCCCUGAACUUCAAGGCGGGGACUGGGGGCGGAUGAAGUUCCUUCCAUUAUAAGUGAAGAUCAGGUUUGUGACCACCUGAGGAACUUGAACAUACAUAAGUCCAUAGGACAUGAAGAGCUGCACACCAGGGUCCUGAGGGAACUCGCUGAUGUAUCUUCCAAGCCACUCUCCAUCAUAUUUGAAAAAUCGUGGCAGUUAGGCAAAGUCCCCUGUGACUGGAAAAAAGGAAACAUCACACCCAUUUUAAAAAAGGGUAAAAAGGAGGGCCCUGGGAACUACCGACCAGUCAGCCUCACCUCCGUGCUCGGUCCCACGACUGGCCCUUCUGUGCCCCAGGUGAAAGGCUUGUCAUGUGGACUGAGAGCCGCUGAAGAACUGGGUGGUGACCUGUUUACAUGCUUGUGGAAAGAAAAGCAGAGAUGGGAGAACUGAAGGAACAGAGUUGUGAAAUUAUCUGCUCAAAGCCAUAAAGGAGGCCAGUGACAAAUCCAGGAAUAGAAGCCAAGUCUCCUAAAUUGCAGCCUAAUGCCACUUAAUUCUGUACUCAACAAGAAAGUUUGCCUUCUGAUGUUACAAUGAGUCUUUAUCAGUCUCUUUCAGGAUGAACCCCCGAGGCAUGGCUGCGGUAGUUGCUUGAAACAGGAAACAGCCUCUUGGUGUCAUUCGUUUCACUGGUCACUGGGAAUCUGAGCCUGAAUGAAGGUGGAGGAAGACUCCUGCAGAGAACUGGGAACGAUCGGUUAUUCAUACUUCCUGGCAGUGGUUAUAAGAGGAGGAUGACUGAGAAUUUGGUAGGUGAGUUAAUCUCAUCUUUAGUAUGUCUCUAGAGACACCCACUUUCCCUUCAUAUGACUCGUCACCAAGAAGUCUCGCAGAGCGAGACCGAAGUACUGACCUCCUGCAUCCCUCCAUCUUCUCUUCUACCCUGUUUUUGCUGCUUCCCCUUUUUCUCAUUUUUCAGCCCCUCUCACCAGCCUGCCACUUGGGUCACCUCCACACACGCCUCCUGCCCGCAGACGCCUGGUGGGAUUGAUGUCAUUUGAGGCCGAGGAGUCAGUGGUUAGGUGGCUGCUGACUCAAUGGGGCGCAGCCCUGAGGUCCCCAGCAAAACCCCACCUCCCGCCCCGUACCCUGAAAAGGAGCAUGCUCUUAAUGUCAGAAAGGAAUCGCUCGAACAUCAGAACUACUGAAGCCCGGUGGAUUUGUGUAACGGGUGAGCACAAACUCGUGUUGAAGCCAUUCUCCAUGUGGAAGUGUUAUAGGUCCUUCCCCCUACAGUAGGUGUCAGGGGACAUAAUAAUAACAUAUAGGUUCAUACCACAGCCCCACUUUCCGUCCAAGUGCU